CCGGCGCACGGGUGAGUAACACGUAUCCAACCUGCCGUCUACUCUUGGCCAGCCUUCUGAAAGGAAGAUUAAUCCAGGAUGGGAUCAUGAGUUCACAUGUCCGCAUGAUUAAAGGUAUUUCCGGUAGACGAUGGGGAUGCGUUCCAUUAGAUAGUAGGCGGGGUAACGGCCCACCUAGUCAACGAUGGAUAGGGGUUCUGAGAGGAAGGUCCCCCACAUUGGAACUGAGACACGGUCCAA
rnacentral:rRNA from 1 species